rnacentral:lncRNA from 1 species
AGGAAUCCGUGUGCAAAGUAGCUACUCUUAAAAAACCUCGGACGAACAGAGUGCUGUCAAGAUCGGCAAAACUGCAAUGGAGAUUCAUCGGCUGCCCCAAAUUCUUUAUCGGCUUCGUCGAACUCCCGUGAUCGUCGGAGCCCAUUUCGGUACUGUCACUCACCUGCUUCAGGCGCUGCUAUUCCUACCCUUGAAAAAUGUAGAAGAUUUUCUGGUUUCCUGUUUCAAAUUUUUUUUUUUCUUCUUCUUUUACCGAAACGUGUUUUAUUUAGAUAUACAAAAUUAGUUAUGCUCGUAUAUGUAAUUAUUUACAUCUGUUAAAACUAUUAUUUAUUUUGGGAAUAAAUUUAUCUGGGUUUAGUUGAUUUGAAAAACUUUCUAGUUUUUGAAGCUUA